UACGUAGGCAGCAAGCGUUGUUCGGAGUUACUGGGCGUAAAGGGUGCGUAGGCGGCUUUUUAAGUCUGGUGUGAAAUCUCCCGGCUCAACUGGGAGGGUGCGCCGGAUACUGCGGGGCUAGAGUGUGGGAGAGGAAAGUGGAAUUCCUGGUGUAGCGGUGAAAUGCGUAGAUAUCAGGAGGAACACCGGUGGUGUGAACGGCUUUCUGGACCAUAACUGACGCUGAGGCACGAAAGCGUGGGUAGCAAACAGG
rnacentral:rRNA from 1 species